rnacentral:rRNA from 1 species
AUUGAACGCUGGCGGCAGGCCUAACACAUGCAAGUCGAACGGUAACAGGAAGCAGCUUGCUGCUUUGCUGACGAGUGGCGGACGGGUGAGUAAUGUCUGGGAAACUGCCUGAUGGAGGGGGAUAACUACUGGAAACGGUAGCUAAUACCGCAUAACGUCGCAAGACCAAAGAGGGGGACCUUCGGGCCUCUUGCCAUCGGAUGUGCCCAGAUGGGAUUAGCUAGUAGGUGGGGUAACGGCUCACCUAGGCGACGAUCCUAGCUGGUCUGAGAGGAUGACCAGCCACACUGGAACUGAGACACGGUCCAGACUCCUACGGGAGGCAGCAGUGGGGAAUAUUGCACAAUGGGCGCAAGCCUGAUGCAGCCAUGCCGCGUGUAUGAAGAAGGCCUUCGGGUUGUAAAGUACUUUCAGCGGGGAGGAAGGGAGUAAAGUUAAUACCUUUGCUCAUUGACGUUACCCGCAGAAGAAGCACCGGCUAACUCCGUG